GCUCGUGAGAAGGAGGGCAGAGGUCCCUAGAUCGGUAGGCAAAAAUCUCAGAGAACCACAAUAGAGGAACAAAUCCUCAACACCAAACAACACCCAAGCGUAGAGCGCAAUAUACAACACCCAAAACAGGACGUAGGGUAUUACGCUACUCUGGCAGCCCGAACCUGUAUGAAUUCGUGUCUUGUGUCCUCACUUUUACCUUCGACUUCCAAGUCUGACGAUCCCCCACCAACCAAUCUACUAUCUCGGGAUACCCCUCGAUAGAUUGAUGGGUAUAAAACAUCGACAUCUUCUGCAAAAUCUUCUUCAGCCUUGCCCAUUUCAAAAUCUGCAAAGGCACCAUCUUCAGUCCAGUCAGUUGGAAUGUUGUUAUUAACAUCAUCUUCUUCACCGUCAUCCAUUACAACUUCUCUUUCAUCUUGCUUGGUCCAAAGAAUAUAGUUAUCCAUGAAACCCCAACGAAAUAUGUGGCCUUGUAGAGUUUUUCUAUUAGAGUCA
rnacentral:lncRNA from 1 species